rnacentral:lncRNA from 1 species
AAAACAGUUAAGGUCACAAAACUCCUUAAAAAUAAGAAGGUCAAGUUUGCAUAUUUGCUACUUAGCAAUCAAAGCUACUAGUUGGAUCUAUAUAUUUUAUCUGUGAGCAUUAUCUGUUUGUUAAACAGAAGUUGAGGACCAUGCAAGCAGAGACAAUGAAGGAGCCAUAACUUCCAUUGAUCAAUGGCGGAUCCCCCUCUAAGGAAGCGUGGUGGGCGACAGAGACGUCAGCUGCUCUUUGCGGACCGCCACACCCAGAUAUCUGACAAAGAGAUGAUGCAGCAGCUUGAAAACCCGCUGGCUGAGACACUGGACCUGUCGAAGAUUUUGCUGCAACUUCCAUCACUGACCAAACAUGCCACUCCUGCUCAGCUCUUCAAUGCCCCCUGUGGAUUGUUCCUCCAUGCUGACCUCCAGUUACUAUGGAAACAGCAGGCCUCAAUCACCGUCCUGCCUGGACACGGGGAACAACAGACAGACGAGGAUGAGGUGAAAGGGGAGUCAGAG